GUGGGGAAUAUUGGACAAUGGGGGAAACCCUGAUCCAGCAAUGCCGCGUGAGUGAUGAAGGCCUUCGGGUUGUAAAGCUCUUUUAUCAGGGAAGAUAAUGACGGUACCUGAUGAAUAAGCUCCGGCUAACUUCGUGCCAGCAGCCGCGGUAAUACGAAGGGAGCUAGCGUUGUUCGGAAUUACUGGGCGUAAAGGGCGCGUAGGCGGCCUUGUAAGUUAGAUGUGAAAGCCCCGGGCUUAACCUGGGAACUGCAUUUAAGACUGCAAAGCUAGAGGACGAGAGAGGAAAGGGGAAUUAUGAGUGUAGAGGUGAAAUUCGUAGAUAUUCAUAAGAACACCAGUGGCGAAGGCGACUUUCUGGCUCGUAUCUGACGCUAAGGCGCGAAAGCGUGGGGAGCAAACAGGAUUAGAAACCCUAGUAGUCC
rnacentral:rRNA from 1 species